GCGCAUCUGUGCAUGCAGCAUAUCAAUAAGCGGAGGAAAAGAAACUAACAAGGAUUCCCUUAGUAACGGCGAGUGAAGCGGGAAGAGCUCAAAUUUGAAAUCUUCAGGGUUUUACCUUGACGAAUUGUAGUUUAAAGAAGUGUUUUCUGCUGAAGUUUUGGUAAAAGUUCUUUGGAAUAGGACAUCAUAGAGGGUGAGAAUCCCGUAUUUGACCAUUAUUUUCAGCUUUGUGAUACACUUUCAAAGAGUCGGAUUGUUUGGGAAUGCAGUCCAAAAUGGGUGGUAAAUUUCAUCUAAAGCUAAAUAUUGGCGAGAGACCGAUAGCGAACAAGUACCGUGAGGGAAUGAUGAAAAGAACUUUGAAAAGAGAGUUAAACAGUACGUGAAAUUGUCAAAAGGGAAGCGUUUGACACCAGUGUUGUUUUCUCGAAAAUCAAUUAAAAAUGGCUCGAUUUUGUAUUGCUGAGACCUUAAAAGCUCACUGUACAUUUUUCGUGUCUUUUUUAAUGCACUUUUCGUUUAACAAGUCAACAUCAGUUUCUUUUGUUGUAAAAGGGUCAUUGGAAGGUGGCUUUCUUUUCGGAGAAAGUGUUUAUAGCCUUUGGCCUCUGCAAUCGGAAGAGACUGAGGUCUGCAGCGUAGACUCUUCGGGGUUAGAUACAUUUGUGCUAAGUUAUAGCUUUUUAUAGACAACUUGUUGACUAUAAUUAGUCUUGUAGCUUACUCGCUUAUGCUAUUUUACCUACGCUUAGGAUGUUGACGCAUGAGAUAUACGC
rnacentral:rRNA from 1 species